rnacentral:rRNA from 1 species
UCACUGCUAUUGGGAUCCGAUUAAGCCAUGCGAGCCGUGGGUGGUUCGUCCACCCGGCGGAAUGCUCAGUAACACGUGGCAAACCUUCCCUAUGGAUCGGGAUAACCCCGGGAAACUGGGGAUAAUCCCGAAUAGGAGAGGACAGCUGGAAUGCACCUCUCUGAAAUGUUCAGGCUCCAUAGGAUGGUGCUGCGGCCGAUUAGGUUGAUGGUGGAGUAAAAGCCCACCAUGCCGAUAAUCGGUACGGGCCCUGAGAGGGGGAGCCCGGAGACGGACUCUGAGACACGAGUCCGGGCCCUACGGGGCGCAGCAGGCGCGAAACCUUCGCAAUGCGUGAAAGCGUGACGAGGGGAUCCCAAGUGCCCUCGCACUGCGGGGGCUUUUCUGGAGUCUAGCGUGCUCUAGGUAAUAAGGGCUGGGAAAGACCGGUGCCAGCCGCCGCGGU